rnacentral:rRNA from 1 species
AUUGAACGCUGGCGGAAUGCUUUACACAUGCAAGUCGAACGGCAGCACGGACUUCGGUCUGGUGGCGAGUGGCGAACGGGUGAGUAAUGUAUCGGAACGUGCCCAGUCGUGGGGGAUAACGUUGUGAAAAUUACGCUAAUACCGCAUACGAUCUAUGGAUGAAAGCGGGGGAUCGCAAGACCUCGCGCGAUUGGAGCGGCCGAUAUCAGAUUAGGUAGUUGGUGGGGUAAAGGCCCACCAAGCCAACGAUCUGUAGCUGGUCUGAGAGGACGACCAGCCACACUGGAACUGAGACACGGUCCAGACUCCUACGGGAGGCAGCAGUGGGGAAUUUUGGACAACGGGCGAAAGCCUGAUCCAGCCAUUCCGCGUGCAGGGUGAAGGCCCUCGGGUUGUAAACUGCUUUUGUACAGAACGAAAAGGUUUCUACUAAUACUAGGAGCUCAUGACGGUACUGUAAGAAUAAGCACCGGCUAACUACGUGCCAGCCGCCGCCGUAA